rnacentral:rRNA from 1 species
UACGAAGGGGGCUAGCGUUGCUCGGAAUCACUGGGCGUAAAGGGUGCGUAGGCGGGUCUUUAAGUCAGGGGUGAAAUCCUGGAGCUCAACUCCAGAACUGCCUUUGAUACUGAAGAUCUUGAGUUCGGGAGAGGUGAGUGGAACUGCGAGUGUAGAGGUGAAAUUCGUAGAUAUUCGGAAGAACACCAGUGGCGAAGGCGGACUCACUGGACCGGUAUUGACGCUGAGGUGCGAAAGCGUGGGGAGCAAACAGG